GCCGCGGCUCCUUGCCCAAUCGCAUCCACACCAGGCGAACCCUAGCCUCCUUUCCCCCGAUCCCCCAGCCGCCGAACGGCCUCGCUCCUCCUUCCCUCCCGCUGUGCCCUCUCCUUGCUCGCAGCCGCCUCCUUUACACCUCCGCCCGAGCUCCGCCUUCCUUGCCGAUCUCCCUCCUCCUGCCUCCUCCCUCCCGCGCCUCUCCCUCCUCCUGCCUCCUCUCUCCCGCUUCACCACAGCCGUCGGUCCCCUCCCUCCCCGUCCACCCUCUCCCUCUCGUUAGCCGCUGCUGCACGAACCUCUCGGAUGGGUGCUGGGUAGAAGGUCGCGGCGAGUCUGCCACAAAGGAAGCAGCAGGGACUUGGUGGAUGUCUUUGCUCUGCAGGGGAGUGAAAGAAGGAGAUGAGGGAGAAAGAGAGAGGAAAGAGGAGACGGAAGUGCGGCGGCUGAUGGGACAUGGUUGACGGCGGCUCGAUCAGCUCCUGGAUUGAGAGCUGCCAGGAGGCUGGGGCUUGGGCGCGAUGCAUGGGAGGCUGCAGUCCACCUCUUCCUUGUGGUGCAGCGGACGCCGGCAUCAGCGGGUGGGCGACAGACCGCGGCCUCAGCGGGUGGGCGACGACACCUGCAGCUGGUGCUAUACCCAUGGAUUCUGGCACAACUCGAAACAUUCAGGUACGAGCAUACAUAUAACAUGGGUUGCCAUGAAAGAUGUCUUCCCAUCUCAGGUGAUGAAGAUGGCGUACCUUUAUUUUUUGACACAAGUACUGAUCGGUGUUGGAAUUGGGCUUUAUAAACUUGGCUUUCCAGCAGUUGGUUUUCCUCCAUCGCCUGCUUAUUUUCCCUCUUCGAAGAGUGAAUAAAAGAUACAUGAUGAAAUACAGGUGGACAAGUGUGUGGAAAUUGGACUUCCAGAACUCAUCCUAAUGGUCGCAUUUUCUCAGGUACUUCAAAUCAAACUCUACAUGCAAUUGAUGGGGCUACAUGAUAGUCACUUUAAUAUAUCUUCUUGGAAGCCGCUUAGUGUUUCCAUGAAUAAUUGUUGCUGGUCUGUUGCAUGCCUUCAUUGUUUGGUGGGCUACUUCCUUCAUGGUGUGGUUGAAGAAUUUUCAGAGGCACGGUUCAUCUUGCGUGCAACUUUUAGCUUGAGUUUCUAUUGACACAUUACAUUUCCUUUUCCUGUAGACCUCUCCUUUUUCAUUUUAUUAUACCUGGGUGUAAUAGCAAGUCGUCUAUAAUCAUUUUGUUUAACUACAAUCCGAUGCAAAAAACUUUUGUUUAGUCCUCAUAGUUCAUCCAUUAUAUGUUUGCUUUCAAACCAAAGAAAUCGGGGGUCCAGGUUCUGAUCAUGCUCCGAUUGAGUCUAUGUAGCCGUCCUUGUUUUUUUUCUAUACGCUUGCAUCAUCUAGGUUCUGACCAUGGCACAAUCUUGUUUCAAAUUUGUUCUCCUAUAUGUAUGCGCUGUGAUGAUUGAUGAGGCGUAUUGGUGGAAAUAAAUCUGAAGCAAAUAAGAGCUGCGAGCAACUGGUUGUGCCCCUAUUAACCUGCUCAAUAUUCGUGUUGUUUGCCUGUCAGUCGAAUGCCCGCUAUUCAGCAGACAGAUAGCUUAGAAACCAGCGUUAGAAAGGACCUGAUACACAUUACAAUUAUGGACUGCUGAUAUACCUGAUGCAUUUCUUCAUGAUGAUGUUCUGUUAUUCAGAGUACUUCAGUUUCCAGUCUCUAUAUAUUAAUCAAAUUAUGGGUUAUUUUGAACCUUAUAGGCUUUUAUAUUAUGUUCAGUUAUGCUUCCAUGGGUUUUUCAUAUGUAUUAACAAAAGAACCAGACUACUAUUUUGUUUAUACUUGAAUCAAAGGACGUACAAUUAAUUUGCUAUUAUGGAAGGACUGAGUAGGCAGCUAGCUGAAUGAGAGGACAAUCAUGACAAGCAAACCAACACAUAAAUAGUAAUCCCACAAUUUUUUACAACUGCAUUCCAGUGAACUUUGGUAUGGAUAUGCAUUUUUAUCCUUGGGAGUACUUUGGAUUUUAAGUGGGAAUCAUAGUUCUUUUCUUCUUAACUUUGGUAUGGCAAGCAAUGCAGGUGAUAUUCCUAAUGGUUGCUGUUGACGCUGAAAAACUACUCUUGAAGCACUAGAAGUGCCCUCUCUAUGGUGCAUCACUCACUGGAUCCAGAUGGGCAACCUUCCGCUUCAAAAUUAGAAGAGCGCAGUUUUUGCCUGUUGUCAUUGCUUACAAAGAGGUUCUCAAAUUAUUUUUGUGGGCAAGAUAAAACUUAAAAGGUGAUCUGGGACAAGUGGAAGGAGGGAAGCCGCUGUAAGAUCGAUAAUGACUUGCCGACAAGAGCAUGUUCGUUCAGAAGUUUCCUUACUAAAAGUUAUUUAUCUGUAGCAAGUGUUUCUAUUGGAACUAUCAAAUUCAAACUCCUAGGUGUCUAUGUCAGGAUGUAGGACUUUGUCCGGGCAGAGAUAUCCCCUCUGAUCUUUUCGUGAAUCCUUUCAUACUUCUUUCUGUAAAGUGCUGCUGAUUUUAAUAAAAUCCCUUUGUUCAAAA
rnacentral:rRNA from 1 species